AACCUGUAAGCUAUACCAAACAUGGUGAGGAUCAUAAAAAGCCAAACACUUAUCAUCAUGAGAGCUUUUCAAGUAUGUCUCUGUCACUCUGAGUUUGUGUAAGUAGAUAUUGAAAUUUCAAGACACACAUAUACAUAUUGAGGCACUUCUUUGUUUUAACCCCGAGCCUUUCCAGCCAACCAUUCAAUAUUACCCUUCAUUUACCCAAUUCGAGUCAUAUUCCCCUUUUAUUUGUUAUGAAUCGUUGUAAAUAACUGUAAGCCCAAACACUCCCUUACAUUGCUCAGAUAAGUGUUGUAGAUUGUUGUUCUGUGAAAAAUCCUAAGUUUGGGGUUAGGACACCGGUAAAAACUAGAUAAGUGCAUAUGAGAUGAAAAGAAAAGAAA
rnacentral:lncRNA from 1 species